rnacentral:rRNA from 1 species
GUCUAAGGCCAUAUCACCCUGAAUGCACCCAACCUCAUCUGUCGCUCGGAAGCUAAGCAGCGGUCGGGCCUGGUUAUACUUGCAAGGAGAUGAUCUUCAGAGGAGACCGCUCAGAGACAAGCAGUUUGGAGA